AUUGAACGCUGGCGGCAGGCCUAACACAUGCAAGUCGAGCGGAGCGGCGGACGGGUGAGUACUGCCUAGGAAUCUGCCUGGUAGUGGGGGAUAACGUCCGGAAACGGGCGCUAAUAACGCAUACUAACAGAUGAGCCUAGGUCGUAUUAGCUAGUUGGUGGGGUAACGGCCUACCAAGGAGACGAUCCGUAACUGGUCUGAGAGGAGGAUCAGGCACACUGGAACUGAGACACGGCCCAGAUGCCGACGGGAGGAAGCAGUGGGGAAUAUUGGAGAAUGUGCGAAAGCCUGAUCCAUCCAUGCCGCGUGUGUGAAGAAGGUCUUCGGAUGGUAAAGCACUUUAAGUUGGGAGGCGUUACCAACAGAAUAAGCACCGGCUAACUUCGUGCCAGCAGCCGCGGUAAUUC
rnacentral:rRNA from 1 species